UACGUAGGGUGCAAGCGUUAAUCGGAAUUACUGGGCGUAAAGAGCGCGUAGGCGGAAGCUUAAGUGUGGCCUGAAAGCCCCCGGCUCAACCGGGGAGGGUGGCUGCAAACUGGGCUUCUUGAGGGCGAUAGAGGAAGGUGGAAUUCCGGGUGUAGCGGUGAAAUGCGUAGAGAUCCGGAGGAACACCAGUGGCGAAGGCGGCCUUCUGGGUCGACCCUGACGCUGAGGCGCGAAAGCGUGGGGAGCGAACGGGG
rnacentral:rRNA from 1 species